rnacentral:rRNA from 1 species
UCGAUGAAGAACGCAGCGAAAUGCGAUAAGUAGUGUGAAUUGCAGAAUUCAGUGAAUCAUCGAAUCUUUGAACGCACAUUGCGCCCCUUGGUAUUCCAUGGGGCAUGCCUGUUCGAGCGUCAUUUGUACCUUCAAGCUCUGCUUGGUGUUGGGUGUU